UCUAAGAUAAUUUGAAUGCACAUAAGUGGCUUUAUAGAAAUAGUUAUCAGCUAUAUGUACAGUCUACCAAUUCGUAAUAUGGGAGGAGCUGUACCAAACUACUGGGGUUUUAUCGAUGGAACUAUUAGAGAAAUUUGUUGACGAAGUAUCAUCAAGUUUGAAUGGAAGUCAAUCAAGUAUUUCUUUUUAUGUGAAACCACCAGUAUUGGAAGAUUAUUUUGUUU